AGUGAGCUGUGGUGAGAUAUGUUUGAUAUAUUUGGUGAGUGAAAUCAAGUCCCACCAAAUAUCAGACAUGUCAACACUACGGCCUGCA
rnacentral:pre_miRNA from 2 species